GUAAGGGUGAUCUGGCUGCGACACCUGUCCCCUCAUUGGUCCCCAGGGCUGGGUCGGCUGAUCUGGCUGGCUGGGCGGGUGUCCCGGUCCUCCUCAACACUCCGUGUGCGCCCCUCCCGAAGCUGCGCGCUGGGUGGAAGAGGACGACCACCCCCGAGGGAGGGGACCGUUCCUCCAUCAAGGGUGUAGAGGAGCUGCGCUUGCCUGCUAGAACCUCCAAACAAGCUCAUUAUAAUAGAUUUGAGGUCACAACUUGGCAUGUCAUACGUGCUGAGCUUCAGUUUUCUGCUUUUGUGAGGUGAAUAACAUU
rnacentral:snRNA from 1 species